UACGUAGGGUCCGAGCGUUGUCCGGAAUUACUGGGCGUAAAGAGCUCGUAGGUGGCUUGUCGCGUUGUUCGUGAAAACUCACAGCUUAACUGUGGGCGUGCGGGCGAUACGGGCAGACUGGAGUACUGCAGGGGAGACUGGAAUUCCUGGUGUAGCGGUGGAAUGCGCAGAUAUCAGGAGGAACACCGGUGGCGAAGGCGGGUCUCUGGGCAGUAACUGACGCUGAGGAGCGAAAGCGUGGGGAGCAAACAGG
rnacentral:rRNA from 1 species